UCACCAGACUCCUACGGGAGGCAGCAGUGAGGAAUAUUGGUCAAUGGCCGCAGGGCUGAACCAGCCAAGUCGCGUGAGGGAUGACGGCCCUACGGGUUGUAAACCUCUUUUGUCGGGGAGCAAAGAGAGUCACGUGUGGCUCAUUGAGAGUACCCGAAGAAAAAGCAUCGGCUAACUCCGUGCCAGCAGCCGCGGUAAUACGGAGGAUGCGAGCGUUAUCCGGAUUUAUUGGGUUUAAAGGGUGCGCAGGCGGAGGUGCAAGUCAGUGGUCAAAUUGCGGGGCUCAACCCCGUACUGCCGUUGAAACUGCAUCCCUUGAGUGCGCGAGAAGUAUGCGGAAUGCGUGGUGUAGCGGUGAAAUGCAUAGAUAUCACGCAGAACUCCGAUUGCGAAGGCAGCAUACCGGCGCGCAACUGACGCUCAUGCACGAAAGCGUGGGUAUCGAACAGGAUUAGAUACCCCAGUAAC
rnacentral:rRNA from 1 species